UUGUGAUCUUGUCUCAAGCGGUGGAACACCGUGUAAUUGACUGGAAUAGCUGCCUCUAGAAUAGGCCCCGGAUUUUCAUCUAGCCAUGAUUCAGUAAUGCACUCUAAUUCGCAUGUUUCAAUAAGGUCGGUAACAAUAGCUGUUUUGUUCCUUAUUGAUCUGGCAUUGCACAGGAUUGAUAGGAUAGUCUUGGGAUUCUGAGCCUUUGCUCUGUACUUUGGAAACAGUGUGUCUUCUAGUGGGGAUCACACAAAGAGGUUACCUUGAGGUUUUUGU